AGCUAGGGCACAUUCCCAGCAGCAGCUAAGAGGCCCUAGCAAAUCCAGGUGGUGAAGCCAAAAUGUCAGCCAAUCCUAAAGAGUUUUGAGAGCUUAAACAAAAAAUAAUACCUUACCUUGCACCUACGUAUGCUCACCUGGAUCCUGAAAGUCAAGCAGAAUAACCUGAUACUUGUUCCUGAAGAUGUGCCUGUUGUACCUAUCAGUUAUCCUGCAGCAGUCUCACCAACAGUACCUGCUGCUGCUGAGAAAUCUGUGUCCACCAUACCAGUGACAGCCUUUGUUAAACCAUCUGUGCCUACUGUUCCUGAAGAUGCGCCUGUUGUACCUAUCUGGAAUCCUGUGACAGUCUCACCAACAGUACCCUCUGGGUAUCCUGUGCCUGCUGGGAAACCUGUGUCUACCAUACCAGUGACAGCCUUCCUCAAACCAGUUAUGCCUGAUGUUCCCAUCAGGUAUUCUGUGCCAUAUUACAUUUUGCUGCUCAUUUAAAACACCAGUGUCUAUUGGACUUGGUCAUUACCAAAAGACUUUGCAUAAGACCUUUUCUGUGAUCUUCAACCUGAACUACCAACUGUUCCUUUUACUUAUCAAACAGUAAAGCUUUGAAGAAAGAC